rnacentral:tRNA from 1 species
GGGCCUCUAGCUCAACUGGUAGAGCAUCGGACUCUUAAUCCGCAGGUUCCGGGUUCAAGCCCCGGGGGGCCCACCA